rnacentral:rRNA from 1 species
UACGUAGGGGGCAAGCGUUGUCCGGAAUCAUUGGGCGUAAAGAGCGUGUAGGCGGCCCGAUAAGUCCGCCGUGAAAGUCCAGGGCUCAACCCUGGAAUGCCGGUGGAAACUGUCGGGCUGGAGUCCGGAAGAGGCGAGUGGAAUUCCUGGUGUAGCGGUGAAAUGCGCAGAUAUCAGGAGGAACACCGAUGGCGAAGGCAGCUCACUGGGACGGUACUGACGCUGGAGACGCGAAAGCGUGGGGAGCAAACAGG